GCUUGGCACCGCUUGCUGGCUUUGCCAUUUAGAAGUAGACCAGAAAUCACUGUAAAAACAGCCACCGACACGACCUAUCACUGAGAGAGACAAUCAGCCGUCCAUGUCAACACACCGAUGAAUAGAACAGAAGAGUGUGAGAGACAGAGCGGGCGAGAGACAAGAGAGAUGGUGACAGAGACAUUCUGAAGACAACAGGAUCUACAGGAGGGCAGAGGGCUGCGGGCAGAUUCACAGUUGUCUCCGUGACACUGACACUGCCAGUAAUAAUGGGAUUUGUGUAGAAGCCCAGGCAGGAAAUGAAGUUUACUGUGAUUGUCUGGGAACGUCACACAGAGGUGUUGAAAACCAGUACUUUCUGGUAGAUGUCAUUUUCAUGGACAGAUAAAACUACUCAACGUUUUCCCAAGCUAUACUAGCCUCCCUCCACAGCAACCAUCUGAACCUGACUGAUGCCUUGGCAGUGGUCACAGACAAUGCCUCCUAGUGCCUGAAGGCAUACAAGGAGGUUCUGAAAGGAGAGAUGCCCAACAGUGUCCAUGUACCCUGUCUCUAUCAGGUCAUCAAUCUGGAGGGUGAAACCUGGCAGCACUACAAAUACUUCUCUGAAGUUGCAUCACUUGGGACAUGGAUGAGAUCUGUCUUCUUCAAGAAGCCUGUCAGAAAUAGAAGAUGGGUGAGCUUCCUCAUUAUGAAGGAGUUUGUGCAGGCCAAGGCUCCUCCUGAAGCAGUGAGCUCCAGAUGGAAUAGUUCAUUUGAGGCAGUGAAGUACCAUGCAGAGCAUGUUCAUCUGUACAGAGAGUUUUUGUUGGCAGAAAAGUUAUCAUCCCAGGCAGUCAGAAACCUCCAGCUGGAAACAGAGGAGAAGGUUGCUGCAUUGUUGCCUAGAUUCUUGCAUUAUUAUGUUUUAAUUUAUAAUGAAACACUUUGUAGAACUCUGUAUUGAAGCACUUGCCAUGAUAAAAAAUUGUGAAAUGUUGUGUUGCAUCAUUACAAAUGUACUGUUUCCCUGUACUAUGUCCAAAAGCAGUUAGAACCGAGUGGACAAGACCAGUGGGACUGUGAUGAUGUUCUUUUCUACACAGAAGAUCAUCCAACAUUAUUGCCAUACCUUUGAUGCACUUCAGUCACUUCAUACUGUCAUAGUCCAAACUAAAAAAGUAAACAAUUGCAGUUGAUUACAUAACUUCUUUUAAUU